rnacentral:rRNA from 1 species
UACGGGGGGGGCAAGCGUUGUUCGGAAUUACUGGGCGUAAAGGGCCAGUAGGCGGCCAACUAAGUCCGACGUGAAAUCCCCAGGCUCAACUUGGGAACUGCGUCGGAUACUGGAUGGCUUGAAUUCGGGAGAGGGAUGCAGAAUUCCAGGUGUAGCGGUGAAAUGCGUAGAUAUCAGGAGGAACACCGAUGGCGAAGGCAGGUCUCUGGGCCACUACUGACGCUGAGAAGCGAAAGCGUGGGGAGCGAACAGG